rfam:Rhodobacter vinaykumarii strain DSM 18714 genome assembly, contig: Ga0111635_117
GGCUUAUUUUGCGAUGGCAGAGCUCGACCGCCGGUCGAAGUGAUGGUGGAUUUCAUCGAGGCGCAUCGUGAUGCGCA